GUCGUGAAGGCCAAACCACUCGCGAGGGUGGGACGGAAAGCCACGGGUCUCUUGGAGACGGCCGGGUUGCCAGCU
rfam:Acidobacteria bacterium 13_1_40CM_2_68_10 13_1_40cm_2_scaffold_5063, whole genome shotgun sequence.